rfam:Manacus vitellinus contig9029, whole genome shotgun sequence.
CCCCUGGUGGUCUAGUGGUUAGGAUGCAGCGCUCUCAUCGCCGCAACCUGGGUUCGAUUCCUGGUCAGGGGA